rnacentral:rRNA from 1 species
GAUGAACGCUGGCGGCGUGCCUAAUACAUGCAAGUAGAACGCUGAAGGAGGAGCUUGCUCUUCUGGAUGAGUUGCGAACGGGUGAGUAACGCGUAGGUAACCUGCCUGGUAGCGGGGGAUAACUAUUGGAAACGAUAGCUAAUACCGCAUGACAACAGUUAUUGCAUGAUAACUGUUUAAAAGGGGCAACUGCUCCACUACCAGAUGGACCUGCGUUGUAUUAGCUAGUUGGUGAGGUAACGGCUCACCAAGGCGACGAUACAUAGCCGACCUGAGAGGGUGAUAGGCCACACUGGGAAUGAGACACGGCCCAGACUCCUACGGGAGGCAGCAGUAGGGAAUCUUCGGCAAUGGACGGAAGUCUGACCGAGCAACGCCGCGUGAGUGAAGAAGGUUUUCGGAUCGUAAAGCUCUGUUGUAAGAGAAGAACGAGUGUGAGAGUGGAAAGUUCACACUGUGACGGUAUCUUACCAGAAAGGGACGGCUAACUACGUG